GGCAACUACGACGGGUACGGGGAUUAGGGUUCGAUUCCGGAGAGGGAGCCUGAAAACGGCUACCACAUCCAAGGAAGGCAACAGGCGCGCAAAUUACCCAAUCCCGAUACGGGGAGGUAGUGACAAUAAAUAACAAUACAGGGCUCUUAUGGGUCUUGUAAUUGGAAUGAGUACAAUUUAAAUCCCUUAACGAGGAACAAUUGGAGGGCAAGUCUGGUGCCAGCAGCCGCGGUAAUUCCAGCUCCAAUAGCGUAUAUUAAAGUUGUUGCAGUUAAAAAGCUCGUAUUUGAAUUUCGGGGUUCUACCGUUGGUCGGGCAAUACUCUGUACUGGCGUGUAAAAUUUCUACCUUCUGGGGAACCAUCAUGUUAUUUAUUUAGCGUGGUGGGAAACCAGGACCUUUACCUUGAAAAAAUUAGAGUGUUCAAAGCAGGCUUACGUCUGAAUACAUUAGCAUGGAAUAAUAAAAUAGGACGGUGGUCCUGUUUUGUUGGUUUCUGAAUCACCGUAAUGAUUAAUAGGGAUAGUUGGGGGCAUUAGUAUUCAAUUGUCAGAGGUGAAAUUCUUGGAUUUAUUGAAGACUAACUUCUGCGAAAGCAUUUGCCAAGGAUGUUUUCAUUAAUCAAGAACGAAAGUUAGGGGAUCGAAGACGAUCAGAUACCGUCGUACUCUUAACCAUAAACUAUGCCGACUAGGGAUCGGACGAUGUUAAUUUUUCUUGACUCGUUCGGCGCCUUACGGGAACAAGG
rnacentral:rRNA from 1 species